rnacentral:misc_RNA from 1 species
GGAACAUAACUUUUUGAGCAUAAUGGAGGAAGUAUGAGAUUGUAAAUGCAUAUCGCAUGACAUUAAACAAUGAAUUAGGUGAUUACAUCCUGAAUACAAAGGACGCACUGAGAUGACAAUUUAUGGUCUUGAGCUCAAUUAAUGGCAGAGAACAUUAGAAGACUUAAACUUUCCAUCAGAUAUCAAUUCACAAAUUAUCAUGCUAUACAUAUUUCAAACCAACAACUGGGAUGUGUCAUAUUAAAUUUCCAUGAUAAAGCAUAACCACAUAGGAACCAGAAAAAGCAAAAAGAGGAGAAA